AUCGAAUUAGUUUAUUAAAAAUUUCAGGAUGUGGGCUUGGAGAAGAUGUGUUAUUAACUUCAUUCGAUA
rnacentral:tRNA from 1 species